GGGUCGGCAGUUCACCCAGUCUCCGCCGCCUGCAGCACGCAGGUACGCUGAACCUGCUC
rfam:Yangia sp. CCB-MM3 chromosome 1, complete sequence.